rnacentral:rRNA from 1 species
UACGGAGGGUGCAAGCGUUAUCCGGAUUCACUGGGUUUAAAGGGUGCGUAGGUGGGCAGGUAAGUCAGUGGUGAAAUCCCCGAGCUUAACUUGGGAACUGCCAUUGAUACUAUUUGUCUUGAAUACUGUGGAGGUUAGCGGAAUAUGUCAUGUAGCGGUGAAAUGCAUAGAUAUGUCACAGAACACCAAUUGCGAAGGCAGCUUACUAAGGUGCAAUUGACGCUGAGGCACGAAAGCGUGGGGAUCAAACAGG